rnacentral:rRNA from 1 species
UACGAAGGGGGCUAGCGUUACUCGGAAUGACUGGGCGUAAAGGGCGCGUAGGCGGGUUCCCAAGUCGGUGGUGAAAUCUUUCGGCCCAACCGGAAAACAGCCGCCGAUACUGGGAGUCUUGAGGGAGGUAGGGGUCGAUGGAACUUCCGGUGGAGCGGUGAAAUGCGUAGAUAUCGGAAGGAACGCCGGUGGCGAAAGCGAUCGACUGGACCUUUUCUGACGCUGAGGCGCGAAAGCCAGGGGAGCAAACGGG